rnacentral:rRNA from 1 species
UACGUAGGUGGCAAGCGUUAUCCGGAAUUACUGGGCGUAAAGCGCACGCAGGCGGUCUGUUAAGUUUGACGUGAAAGCUCCCGGCUUAACUGGGAGAGGUCGUUGAAGACUGGCAGACUUGAGGCAAUGAGAGGGGUGUAGAAUUCCCGGUGUAGUGGUGGAAUGCGUAGAUAUCGGGGGGAAUACCAGUGGCGAAAGCGGCACCCUAGCGUUGUUCUGACGCUCAUGUGCGAAAGCGUGGGGAGCGAACGGG